AUAAUGGGUCAGCGACUUAUAUUCUGUAGCAAGGUUAACCGAAUAGGGGAGCCGGAGGGAAACCGAGUCUUAACCGGGCGUUAAGUUGCAGGGUAUAGACCCGAAACCCGGUGAUCUAGCCAUGGGCAGGUUGAAGGUUGGGUAACACUAACUGGAGGACCGAACCGACUAAUGUUGAAAAAUUAGCGGAUGACCUGUGGCUGGGGGUGAAAGGCCAAUCAAACCGGGAGAUAGCUGGUUCUCCCCGAAAGCUAUUUAGGUAGCGCCUCGUGAAUUCAUCUCCGGGGGUAGAGCACUGUUUCGGCUAGGGGGCCAUCCCGGCUUACCAACCCGAUGCAAACUGCGAAUACCGGAGAAUGUUAUCACGGGAGACACACGGCGGGUGCUAACGUCCGUCGUGAAGAGGGAAACAACCCAGACCGCCAGCUAAGGUCCCAAAGUCAUGGUUAAGUGGGAAACGAUGUGGGAAGGCCCAGACAGCCAGGAUGUUGGCUUAGAAGCAGCCAUCAUUUAAAGAAAGCGUAAUAGCUCACUGGUCGAGUCGGCCUGCGCGGAAGAUGUAACGGGGCUAAACCAUGCACCGAAGCUGCGGCAGCGACGCUUAUGCGUUGUUGGGUAGGGGAGCGUUCUGUAAGCCUGUGAAGGUGUGUCGUGAGGC
rnacentral:rRNA from 1 species